UGGCUACAAAAUAACUUAUUUUGUAGCCACUUUGAGUUACGAUAAUUACUAUAUUAAUUUACAAGAUUAUAGUAACUCCUUACGAACAUUACGGUAAAUAUCUCGAUGUGUUAUAGUAACCCAACAAUUGUAAAUAUGUACACAUAUUAUCGUAAAUUAGUAUAUAAAAUUAUCGUAAAUGGAGGUGGUUACAGAAUAACAUAUUUUGUAGCUA
rnacentral:pre_miRNA from 1 species